rnacentral:rRNA from 1 species
UUACGGUCAAAUCACGUUGAAAACACCGGUUCUCGUUCGAUCACCGAAGUUAAGCAUCGUAGAGAGCCAGGUCAGUACUUAGAUGGGGACCGCUUGGGAACACCUGGUACUGUAAG